rnacentral:rRNA from 1 species
UACAGAGGGGGCAAGCGUUGUCCGGAAUUACUGGGCGUACAGCGCGCGCAGGCGGACCGCCACGUGCCGUGUGACAAGCCACUGCUCAACAGUGGAGGGCCAGGGUACACGAGCGGUCUGGAGGCAGGGAGAGGGAUGUGGAAUGCCCGGUGGAGCGGUGAAAUGCGUAGAGAUCGGGCGGAACACCAGCGGCGAAGGCGGCAUCCUGGUCCAUAACUGACGCUGAGGCGCGAAAGCUAGGGGAGCAAACAGG